GGGCUCUGUACACGACGGGAGGGUUUUCAGGACGUCCACACUCUACCACACACUCGAAGAAAAGUGUGGAGAUUUUCAUAUUCUGGGUGACAGUGCCUAUCCCUGCACCAGAAAUUUAUUAACACCCUUUAUAAAUACAGGGAAUUUGCCCAGAGUGCAAUGUGAAUUCAAUAGGGCACUCUCAAAAAACAGGUGCGUUGUGGAACAUUGCUUUGGCAUGUUGAAGCAGCGUUUCAGACAGUUGUAUCAUCUGAAAUUGAGGAGUGCUAGAGAGAUGGCGCACUUCAUCCGAGCGUGCUGUGUGCUACACAAUCUCGCCGUGGAAGAUAACUUGGAGUUAGAAGAUAACGAAGGUGUAGAAGAUGAUGCACCGGCUGAAGAACGAGUAGUCGGCUUCUACAACAGGGAUGACAGAAGUGGCAUUGCAAAGAGAAAUAUGAUUGCAGCACAGUUGCAAAUGUAAAAGCAGCACCAGAUGCCCCAUCACCAACAUAUUACAACAAAUAUCAUACCAGUGAUGUGGAUGUUAGGAUGUAUUACGGACUACAAGCAGGAGAUCAAGGUGAAGGAAGUCAACUGCAGGCCAUGGAGGAAGAAUAAAGGGCUGUCCAAGAAUAGUACGCCAUCUUUGGCACUCCCGGCGUGUCUCUUUCGGAGGAUGCUAAGUUUCAACGACGUGCGUCUCGUGGGCCCCGAGGAAUUGCUUCAUGACAUCAUCAGUAAGGCUGAAAGCGUGACAGCGCUGCCUGGUGACUAGACCGGUAAACAACUCUGUUGACGUGACGUCACACGUUGGCCACAGCGUUUGUACUAGUGAUGGGCUAAACAGCGAUUUUC